CGGGACUGACGGGGCUCGAACCCGCAGCUCCGU
rnacentral:tRNA from 1 species